UCAUUAGUCCUCUCUCCCUGUGUGUUUAACUGAUGCAAAACACAUUUUCUGUUUUUUAGGAGAGAAUUCAUCUCAGGGGAAGAAUAAAACUCGACAAUGUGAUGACUCCUCUUCAAACUUCAGCAAUAAAUAUAUGUGAAGCAGCCUGGUUUAAGACAACAUGCAGGAACAGCCCACCAAGGUUGCAAUGCCGCGGGAACUGUGGAGCAGCUGAAGCUUUUUGCCAGGCAGGACACUUGUGCUAAUGACCAGCCCUUGACUUCUAAGCCUCAAGUGCCUCCUGUCCCUUCUGGGACGACGUGCUUUUUUGAUGGCUUAAUAACUGGUAUAUCAUAUGUAUUUAUUAUGUUCUCAUAUAGUAGAAGCAGGAAAACUCUCAAGAAGGUUGAAGAGCAUGUUUGCAUAGUCAUUAUUACAAGAAUCUUCUGCGCAUACAGGAAGGAAUACGUUAGCAUACUUUGUUGAGCUUAUGGUAUUUAGGGUUCUUUUAAUUGUAUGUAGCAAAAUACAAACACGGCCUGACCCUUGAAACGUUACUGGGCCAACAGCCACGAUGGAAGUUAAUUCAGUGAUUUCCUGGAGACUCCUCACUGAAGCACACGCUUCACUUGUCAUAAAUGUUUACAGGAUGGGAUGCCUGGGUGAAAUGCUGAAGUGUGCUUUAUUUCUGUGAAGGGGAGGAAUACGCUUUGCACUGAUGUUUGUGGUUUUGUUUUGUUUUUUGAAGUUCUGUAAAUUGCUGAAUAUGGUCCUUGUGAUGUAGCAGGCAACACAGUUAGUUUUCUCCUGUUCCUUGGCUAGCUGCUGCAUUAUGCGUGCUGUGAAUGACUCCUCUAAGCUGAGGUGUAUGGUGGGGAUCAGCAGGAAAAGCAAUUCUGCAGCUGAACCCUGUAUUUGGAGUAAUGCAUGAGAUUCUUGUUGGCUACCAAAUAACUCUGGAAGUUUAAGGAGUGUUUCAAGUGAUGAUUACAGACUCUUAAUUUGUACAGAGCUGAUGCUGCAAAAAUAUCAAGUAGUGCUUCUACCUGCAUGUAUCCUACUCUGCUAGAACUGUAAAUGUUCAAAAAUUAUAUUAAUGUGAGCAUCUGCUCAGCCUCAGUCCACUGGCUCUGGCAAUGUCCUGGGAAGCUCCAUUGUUGUACUGGGGAAAGGAAAGGAGACGGUGGUGUAAGUGUGGGGCUGAGAGCCAAUUUGAGUUGUGAUACCACUGAUAACAAUGCUUUUGAGGAAACUUCUCCCUCCAGUUUCCCUCUGUGGGUUGAGAAAACUUAACUAGCAGUAUGGCAAGAGAUUGAAUGGAUUUGUUAGUUCAUAUUUAUGCACAAAGAUAAAGCGUUCAUGUCCCUACUUUUGACUGUUGCUCUUAUUUCAUCGGUGAUGGAUCUAAUCCUCUGUCUUACCAGCACCAAGAGAAAUUUUGAUGAAGUUUUGUAAAAGUUGAGAAACAAACAAGGGUGCUCCAUACUGCAGCUGAACUUCUAUGGUCUGUUCAGGUGCUCCUGGAUCACUUGGGUUGCUCCAGAGCAGAGGAGUUGUGUAUCUGCUUUAGAAAGGUCAGGUUGCCUAAAAUACACCAGAUAGCAUCUGCACCUACUCAGAUUCCUGAUUGCUGAAGUUUCCAGUGAAAAAAGAAAGCAAUCAUUGUGCAUUUUCGUGUUGAUUUUAAAAUCUUUUUGUAGCAUGUUGCAUCCUAUUGAGAGGACAGUAGAAAAGACCAGAGAAACAUUACAAAAAAUACGUGUAUGUGUAAAAUUUGUUCAGUACCUCCACGAUGUGUCAAGGAGAGAAAACAACUUCCUAUUAAAAGUUAUUAUGUUUAUUAAAAGGCUCUACUUUUUCUCUUUGCAGAAAUGCAGUUCAUUACCUGUGCCUAGCACCAGAGUUGGCCACUGCGCUGC
rnacentral:lncRNA from 1 species